UACGGGGGGGGUAAGCGUUGUUCGGAAUUACUGGGCGUAAAGGGCUCGUAGGCGGCCAACUAAGUCAGACGUGAAAUCCCUCAGCUUAACUGGGGAACUGCGUCUGAUACUGGAUGGCUUGGAUUCGGGAGAGGAAUGCGGAAUUCCAGGUGUAGCGGUGAAAUGCGUAGAUAUCUGGAGGAACACCGGUGGCGAAGGCGGCAUUCUGGACCGACAUUGACGCUGAGGAGCGAAAGCCAGGGGAGCAAAC
rnacentral:rRNA from 1 species